UACGUAGGGGGCAAGCGUUAUCCGGAUUUACUGGGUGUAAAGGGAGCGUAGACGGCAUGGCAAGUCAGAUGUGAAAGCCCGGGGCUCAACCCCGGGACUGCAUUUGAAACUGUCAGGCUGGAGUGCAGGUGAGGUAAGUGGAAUUCCUAGUGUAGCGGUGAAAUGCGUAGAUAUUAGGAGGAACACCAGUGGCGAAGGCGGCUUACUGGACUGUAACUGACGUUGAGGCUCGAAAGCGUGGGGAGCAAACAGG
rnacentral:rRNA from 1 species